CUGGCAGGAGGGAAAGCGGAGACUCCUUCAGGUUUCCAAAGAGGUCCGAGCGGACUGCAUUAAUUCACACUGACCUGUGACCACUGUAAAACAGACUGAAUUCUCUCAAGCAAGCAAUUAAAG
rnacentral:lncRNA from 1 species